CCUACGGGUGGCAGCAGUGAGGAAUAUUGGUCAAUGGGCGUAAGCCUGAACCAGCCAAGUCGCGUGAGGGAUGAAGGUUCUAUGGAUCGUAAACCUCUUUUAUAAGGGAAUAAAGUGUGGGACGUGUCCUGUUUUGUAUGUACCUUAUGAAUAAGGAUCGGCUAACUCCGUGCCAGCAGCCGCGGUAAUACGGAGGAUCCGAGCGUUAUCCGGAUUUAUUGGGUUUAAAGGGUGCGUAGGCGGCCUUUUAAGUCAGCGGUGAAAGUCUGUGGCUCAACCAUAGAAUUGCCGUUGAAACUGGGAGGCUUGAGUAUGUUUGAGGCAGGCGGAAUGCGUGGUGUAGCGGUGAAAUGCUUAGAUAUCACGCAGAACUCCGAUUGCGAAGGCAGCAUACCGGCGCUCAACUGACGCUCAUGCACGAAAGUGUGGGUAUCGAACAGGAUUAGAUACCCCUGUAGUC
rnacentral:rRNA from 1 species